rnacentral:rRNA from 1 species
GACGAACGCUGGCGGCGUGCUUAACACAUGCAAGUCGAGCGGUAAGGCCCUUUCGGGGGUACACGAGCGGCGAACGGGUGAGUAACACGUGGGUGACCUGCCCUCAGCUCUGGGAUAAGCCUGGGAAACCGGGUCUAAUACUGGAUAUGACUCCAUGACGCAUGUUGUGGGGUGGAAAGCCUUGUGCGGCUGAGGAUGGGCCCGCGGCCUAUCAGCUUGUUGGUGGGGUGANGGCCUACCAAGGCGACGACGGGUAGCCGGCCUGAGAGGGUGACCGGCCACACUGGGACUGAGACACGGCCCAGACUCCUACGGGAGGCAGCAGUGGGGAAUCUUGCGCAAUGGGCGAAAGCCUGACGCAGCGACGCCGCGUGAGGGAUGACGGCCUG